UGUGUAUGUGUGUGUGUGUGUGUGUGUGUUUGUGUGUGUGUGUGUGUGUGUGUGUGUGUGUGUGUGUGUGUGAGAGGGAGGGGGGGGGAACUGGGCACCAGCCGGGAAGAUGCAAGGGCACACAAACAAAUCAGGUUGUACGCCCUUCUGGGAGUCAGAGUCUGGCGUGUGUGUAAUGCAUUAUGCUGUUAGUUGUUGUUGUGGGUGUUACUGAAUCCCAUACCCCCCCCCCCCACACACUCCAGUCCCCCGUCCCAACCACCACAUACACACAUAUUCAAACACACACUCACACAUAUACAGUACAAACCAUACACUUACACACAUAUUUAGACACAUAGUGAUACACAUGCACACACGCAAACACACACACACACACACUGGCAGACGGGACCACCCACACCACAGGUACGCACAAAUUCAUACACAAAUGAAGGCAAACACACACACACACACACACACAGGCGCACGCACACAUGCCCGUCUAUAUGUAUAAAUACCAAUCCGCAAAACAGAUUCACUCCUGUCUAACCGAUACGUUUGUGUCGUGGAAAAAGUAGGUCUGUCUUCGAGGUUGGGAACAGGAAGGAGAAAACGGAUGAUAAAUAUGCUGGUGAUCCCAGGGCUCGCAUCAUUUAGGUGUUUAUUAUUUUAAAGAUAAGGACUGCCGAAGAGCAAAUCAACUCAGCAUAAAUCCUCACAUCUUGUGAUUGAAAUGAAUAAAAGCAUUGAAUCAUCAACACUAUGUUUUCACCUAUUUGUCAUAAAGAUAGAUGUUCUUCUUAUGAUGAGAAAUAUGGCAUAAUGCUAGAACAGUUCUCAGCUUUUCAAUGCAUGAAUACUUAUGUGUUAUAGAAUAAUAGGAGGAGCGAGGGGACUAAAUAAGACGCGUUUGCAUGUGUUUUGUUUAUUGUGCAUGAAAGUGUGUGUGUGUGAGUGCAACCUUGUACGUGUGACUGUGCGUGUGUGUGUGUGUGUGUGUGUGUGUGUGAGAGAGAGAGAGACAGUGUGAGUGUGUGGGUGUCAGUGUGUGUGUGUGUGUGUGUGCGUUUAAGCAUUUGUGCCCAAGUGCAACCUUGUAUGGGUGAGUGUGAAUGAGUGUGUGUGUGUGCUAUUUUGACUGUAUGUGUGUGUGUGUGUGUGUGUGUGUGUGUGUGUGUGUGCGUGUGUGUGUGUGCGCGUGCGUGUAUGAGCAUUCCGUCAUUCACAGCACAGGAGCACCUGAACAGGCACCAGCUGGCAGAGUGAGAGAUGGCUCCACUGCCAAGGAGAGGAGACUUGAUGGAAGCCCGGAUUCAUUAAAACUUAAUUAAUAUGCAUCAUUAUGUAAAUGAGGUUGCAGUUAAUGAGUUUUUAAAAGAAGCAUUCCUUAAUUAGUUCACUUUUAAUGGCAUCAUCAUUUAUCUUUUUCUUCUUUGAAGCAGAAUGAUGCGCUCGAUGCGAAGCGGUUCUAAAAUGCUAAUCUAUGUUUUAUCAUUUUAUUUUUCUGAUUUCAAUGUGAUCGCCAAGACAUCCAGAAUCUUGUCACUAAUGAGCCACGUUUGUGUUAUAAUGUCACUUAUUUCAAUUUAAGAUUAUGCAAAUUUUCAAAGUAGUGAAGAAAUUCACAAAACGGAAUAUCCUUUAAAAUCAUAUAGAAUUUACUAAUUAAAAACCAAUAAAAAAAAAGUGUUUUGCCCACAGGAAGUUAAACUAUCACCUUUAGCUACUUGAAAACUCAAUCUUUUUUUUCUCCAAUUGGGGAAAAAAUAAAUUAUCUCAGCCAUUUUCUUUCCCAGAGAAGAAAACACUGAGUAGGUGUCAGAAGACAAAACCAGUCGACUUCUGACAAUGUCACACCUCUAGAUAAUUGGCCCUCGAUACUUCCUGUUAAAAGCAUGCAAACUUCCUGUUUUAGAAAGGUCCCAAUAAAAACUUUCUUCACAGUGUUGCACCUCAGCCAACACCAUAUAUUUCUUUAUUUAUUCUCUGUUAUGCCUAUUCAUUCCCCCUUCCCCCCCCCCACAAACACACACAUACACACAUAAACACACUGACACACACAGCUAUUAAAAUGUUAGGAAAUACUGCAAAAUGCAUUUUGACCUGGUUAUAAUGAUGAAAAUAGAAAAUGUACAAGUUAAAUAAAAUUAUAAUGACAAUAAUAGUAAAUUGCUUCGUGCUUUUAUUUUAUUUUAUCAAGUAAUAUGUAUAGUUUUGAUAUUUUGUUAAUGCUGUUUGUUUACGUGAAAAUAAAGAGUCCAAUAUCCAAAUACAUCUGUGAAA
ensembl:lncRNA